AUUGAACGCUGGCGGCAUGCCUUACACAUGCAAGCCGAACGGUAACAGGUUAAGCUGACGAGUGGCGAACGGGUGAGUAAUGUAUCGGAACGUGCCCAGUCGUGGGGGAUAACUGCUCGAAAGAGCAGCUAAUACCGCAUACGACCAGAGGGUGAAAGCGGGGGACCGCAAGACCUCGCGCGAUUGGAGCGGCAGAUAUCAGAUUAGGUAGUUGGUGGGGUAAAGGCCUACCAAGCCUACGAUCUGUAGCUGGUCUGAGAGGACGACCAGCCACACUGGGACUGAGACACGGCCCAGACUCCUACGGGAGGCAGCAGUGGGGAAUUUUGGACAAUGGACGCAAGUCUGACCCAGCCAUGCCGCGUGCGGGAAGAAGGCCUUCGGGUUGUAAACCGCUUUUGUCAGGGAAGAAAAGGUUCUGGUUAAUACCUGGGACUCAUGACGGUACCUGAAGAAUAAGCACCGGCUAACUACGUGCCAGCCGCCGCCGUAAUAC
rnacentral:rRNA from 1 species